ACGGGAGGCAGCAGUGGGGAAUCUUCCGCAAUGGGCGAAAGCCUGACGGAGCAAUGCCGCGUGAGUGAUGAAGGGAUUCGUCCCGUAAAGCUCUUUUGUGUAUGACGAAUGUGCAGGGGGUGAACAAUCCUCUGUAAUGACGGUAGUACACGAAUAAGCCACGGCUAACUACGUGCCAGCAGCCGCGGUAAUACGUAGGUGGCGAGCGUUGUCCGGAAUUAUUGGGCGUAAAGAGCAUGUAGGCGGUUUCUUAAGUCUGGAGUGAAAAUGCGGGGCUCAACCCCGUAUGGCUCUGGAUACUGGGAGGCUUGAGUGCAGGAGAGGAAAGGGGAAUUCCCAGUGUAGCGGUGAAAUGCGUAGAUAUUGGGAGGAACACCAGUGGCGAAGGCGCCUUUCUGGACUGUGUCUGACGCUGAGAUGCGAAAGCCAGGGUAGCGAACAGGAUUAGAUACCCUGGUA
rnacentral:rRNA from 1 species